rnacentral:rRNA from 1 species
GGUAAAGCUUUUGCGGUUUGGGAUGGGCCUGCGUCCUAUCAGGUAGUUGGUGAGGUAAAUGCUCACCAAGCCUAUGACGGGUAGCUGGUCUGAGAGGAUGGUCAGCCAGACUGGGACUGCGACACGGCCCAGACUCCUACGGGAGGCAGCAACUAGGAAUUGUGCGCAAUGGACGAAAGUCUGACGCCGCGACAUCGCGUGGAGGAUGAAGGUCUGCGGAUUGUAAACUCCUUUUCUUACCGAACAAGUUCUGAGUGUAGGUAAGGAAUAAGUGCCUGCUAACCACGUGCCAGAAGCAUCGGUAAUACGUGGGGCACGAGCGUUAUCCGGAUUUACUGGGCGUAAAGAGAAGCGUAGGCGGCUCAAUAAGUUUGGUGUUAAAUCUUCCGGCUCAACCGGAAACAAGCACCGAAAACUAUCGAGAUUGAGUCGAGUAGGGAAGAGGGGAAUUCCUGGUGGAGCGGUUAAAUGCGUAGAUAUCAGGAGGAAUACCAAGGGCGAAGGCACCUCUUUGGACUCGUACUGACGCUGAGGCUCGAAAGCGUGGGUAGCAAAACGGAUUAGAUACCCGUGUAGUCCACGCCGUAAACGAUCCCUGUUAGAUGU